rnacentral:rRNA from 1 species
UGUGUGUUAGUGGAAGCGUCUGGAAAGGCGCGCGAUACAGGGUGACAGCCCCGUACACAAAAAUGCACAUGCUGUGAGCUCGAUGAGUAGGGCGGGACACGUGGUAUCCUGUCUGAAUAUGGGGGGACCAUCCUCCAAGGCUAAAUACUCCUGACUGACCGAUAGUGAACCAGUACCGUGAGGGAAAGGCGAAAAGAACCCCGGCGAGGGGAGUGAAAAAGAACCUGAAACCGUGUACGUACAAGCAGUGGGAGCACGCUUCGGCGUGUGACUGCGUACCUUUUGUAUAAUGGGUCAGCGACUUAUAUUCUGUAGCAAGGUUAACCGAAUAGGGGAGCCGAAGGGAAACCGAGUCUUAACUGGGCGUUAAGUUGCAGGGUAUAGACCCGAAACCCGGUGAUCUAGCCAUGGGCAGGUUGAAGGUUGGGUAACACUAACUGGAGGACCGAACCGACUAAUGUUGAAAAAUUAGCGGAUGACUUGUGGCUGGGGGUGAAAGGCCAAUCAAACCGGGAGAUAGCUGGUUCUCCCCGAAAGCUAUUUAGGUAGCGCCUCGUGAAUUCAUCUCCGGGGGUAGAGCACUGUUUCGGCAAGGGGGUCAUCCCGACUUACCAACCCGAUGCAAACUGCGAAUACCGGAGAAUGUUAUCACGGGAGACACACGGCGGGUGCUAACGUCCGUCGUGAAGAGGGAAACAACCCAGACCGCCAGCUAAGGUCCCAAAGUCAUGGUUAAGUGGGAAACGAUGUGGGAAGGCCCAGACAGCCAGGAUGUUGGCUUAGAAGCAGCCAUCAUUUAAAGAAAGCGUAAUAGCUCACUGGUCGAGUCGGCCUGCGCGGAAGAUGUAACGGGGCUAAACCAUGCACCGAAGCUGCGGCAGCGACACUGUGUGUUGUUGGGUAGGGGAGCGUUCUGUAAGCCUGUGAAGGUGUACUGUGAGGUAUGCUGGAGGUAUCAGAAGUGCGAAUGCUGACAUAAGUAACGAUAAAGCGGGUGAAAAGCCCGCUCGCCGGAAGACCAAGGGUUCCUGUCCAACGUUAAUCGGGGCAGGGUGAGUCGACCCCUAAGGCGAGGCCGAAAGGCGUAGUCGAUGGGAAACAGGUUAAUAUUCCUGUACUUGGUGUUACUGCGAAGGGGGGACGGAGAAGGCUAUGUUGGCCGGGCGACGGUUGUCCCGGUUUAAGCGUGUAGGCUGGUUUUCCAGGCAAAUCCGGAAAAUCAAGGCUGAGGCGUGAUGACGAGGCACUACGGUGCUGAAGCAACAAAUGCCCUGCUUCCAGGAAAAGCCUCUAAGCAUCAGGUAACAUCAAAUCGUACCCCAAACCGACACAGGUGGUCAGGUAGAGAAUACCAAGGCGCUUGAGAGAACUCGGGUGAAGGAACUAGGCAAAAUGGUGCCGUAACUUCGGGAGAAGGCACGCUGAUAUGUAGGUGAAGCGACUUGCUCGUGGAGCUGAAAUCAGUCGAAGAUACCAGCUGGCUGCAACUGUUUAUUAAAAACACAGCACUGUGCAAACACGAAAGUGGACGUAUACGGUGUGACGCCUGCCCGGUGCCGGAA